GCCCUCUUAGCUCAGUGGUAGAGCGUCGCUCUCGUAAAGCGAAGGCCGGGUGUUCAAUCCACCCAGUGGGCA
rfam:Fonticula alba strain ATCC 38817 unplaced genomic scaffold supercont2.7, whole genome shotgun sequence.